UCUGUUGGAGGAAAACUGCGGUUGUGAAUUACAAAAUAUUGUGUUAGAAGAGUAAAUGGAGGCGAAACAAAUGUCUGUAGUCCAUUUAGCUUUAUUCACUAAAUUAAAAUGUAGCGUGUCCUUAGUGUCAUGUGGAACCGAUGGUAAAGAACAAAGACAACUGCAAAAUUCCAGUCACGCACGCAGCUGUUGCUCUCCGGCUCUGAAAUUGGCUGGCCACGCGUCAUAUGUACUCCUGGGGAGCACGCAGCUUGCGAUCAGCCAUGCCGCGAGAAGAACCGGGAACGAGCUUGUCUACGCGGUGCCGAUGCAGCAGCCAGGGCACAAGAACCGGCACAAGACUUUCUAGUCGAACACAUGGACGGCUUGCUUGGAAAACACCUCUUCCUGGUGGUUGCUACCACACUCGCUGCACUGAUUAUGGCACCACACGAAGCAGAGGCAAUUCCAAGCUUUAUCACGGACGCUAUUUCAAAGUUCAUUGGACGAAAUGAAGAAAAUGACGAAUAGCGGAAGCGCCUGCGUUGGCGAUACAGUGUGGGCGAUCUGCGUUCCAUUCACGACGCCUGUUCGUAACUGAAUAAAAUGAAUGAAGCAAAAAAUGGCCUGGAAUGAA